GACCGGACUCAGUAGCUUUAUCACCGGAUCCCUCUUCACGACUGGCCCGAGUGCUGCCCAGGGAUCAUUCUCCCGUUCGGCUUCGUGGACCAGACCAUGCAUCCGCCCUCUCUUAGGUCAAGGAAAAGGAGACCAGCAUGGCCUGAGUGACAGCGGAGGGCUGUGGGGGUCUUUACCAGGAUUCGAGGGAAGAAAAUACAAUAACCAG